ACCUAUUUAGCUCAGUUGGUUAGAGCAUCCGCUUCAUACGCGGAGAGCCACUGGUUCAAUUCCAGUAGUAGGUA
rnacentral:tRNA from 1 species